rnacentral:rRNA from 1 species
GACGAACCGAGCGAACGUUGUUCGGAAUCACUGGGCUUAAAGGGCGCGUAGGCGGGCUGCCGCGUCCGGGGUGAAAGCCCCCCGCUCAACGGGGGAACGGCCUCGGAUACGGGCGAUCUCGAGGGGGGUAGGGGCACCUGGAACUGUGGGUGGAGCGGUGAAAUGCGUUGAUAUCCACAGGAACUCCGGUGGCGAAGGCGAGGUGCUGGACCCCAUCUGACGCUGAGGCGCGAAAGCCAGGGGAGCGAACGGA